rnacentral:rRNA from 1 species
UACGGAAGGCAGCAGUGGGGAAUAUUGCACAAUGGGCGAAAGCCUGAUGCAGCUAUGUCGCGUGUAUGAAGAAGGCCUUAGGGUUGUAAAGUACUUUCAUCGGGGAGGAAAAACAAAACUAAUAAUUUUAUUUCUUGACGUUACCCGAAAAAGAAGCACCGGCUAACUCCGUGCCAGCAGCCGCGGUAAUACGGAGGGUGCUAGCGUUAAUCAGAAUUACUGGGCGUAAAGAGCACGUAGGUGGUUUUUUUAAGUCAGAUGUGAAAUCCCUGGGCUUAACCUAGGAACUGCAUUUUGAAACUGAAAUACUAGAGUAUCGUAGAGGGAGGUAGAAUUCUAGGUGUAGCGGUGAAAUGCGUAGAUAUCUGGAGGAAUACCUGUGGCGAAAGCGGCCUCCUAAACGAAUACUGACACUGAGGUGCGAAAGCGUGGGGAGCAAACAGGGAUUAGAUACC